GACGAACGCUGGCGGCGUGCUUAACACAUGCAAGUCGAACGAUGAACCCGGAGCUUGCUCUGGGGGAUUAGUGGCGAACGGGUGAGUAACACGUGAGUAACCUGCCCUGGACUCUGGGAUAAGCGUUGGAAACGACGUCUAAUACCGGAUAGGACCUUGGAUCGCAUGAUCUGGGGUGGAAAGUUUUUUCGGUCUGGGAUGGACUCGCGGCCUAUCAGCUUGUUGGUGAGGUAAUGGCUCACCAAGGCGUCGACGGGUAGCCGGCCUGAGAGGGUGACCGGCCACACUGGGACUGAGACACGGCCCAGACUCCUACGGGAGGCAGCAGUAGGGAAUAUGGCACAAUGGGCGAAAGCCUGAUGCAGCAACGCCGCGUGCGGGAUGACGGCCUUCGGGUUGUAAACCGCUUUUAGUAGGGAAGAAGGGCUUCGGCUUGACGGUACCUGCAGAAAAAGGACCGGCUAACUACGUG
rnacentral:rRNA from 1 species